UGCUGCAAAAAUGUUGCUCCUCACUUCUGAGGGUUCUCGUUAGUUUUGACUAUGAACCACUAGAACUUUAUUGUCAAAAACAGCGAUCGAUAUUAGAUUAGAUUUUAUCCUCUGUGGGUUCUCAUAUGCUUUCCUAAAGCUGAAGCCUCAUAGAAUCUUUUCCCGCAGGUCUUGCAAACAUACGGCUUCUCACCUGUGUGGGCUCUUCUCAUGUGGACCAACAAGUUACUAUUAUAGCAAAACCCUUUUCCACAUGUUUUGCAAGAAUA